AUUGAACGCUGGCGGCAGGCCUAACACAUGCAAGUCGAACGAGUGGCGGACGGGUGAGUAAUGUCUGGGAAACUGCCAGAUGGAGGGGGAUAACUACUGGCAACGGUAGCUAAUACCGCCUACCAUCGGAUGUGCCCAGAUGGGAUGAGCUAGUGGGUGGGGUAAAGGCUAACAUAGGCGACGAUCCCUAGCUGGUCUGAGAGGAUGACCAGCCACACUGGAACGGAGACACGGUCCAGACGCCUACGUGAGGCAGCAGCGGGGAAUAUUGGACAAUGGGCGAAAGCCUGAUCCAGCCAUGCCGCGUGUGUGAAGAAGGUCUUCGGAGUGUAAAGCACUUUAAGUUGGGAGGCGUUACCAACAGAAUAAGCACCGGCUAACUUCGUGCCAGCCGCCGCGGUAAUAC
rnacentral:rRNA from 1 species